CACUGGGCUUAGGAACACUGCACUUCAAAUGUGGAUGGUGCUGAACCAUGUUGGCCAUACUGGACUCCAUUACCCCCUUUCCCAGCACAGGAACCCAGCAAAACCAGCAGCUACCCUUGGUGGAUCCCAACCCUUCCAAAAGCCGAGCUCUGACGUGUGAGUAACAACCAGGAAGGAUUCCUCAAUAACCUGGGAUAACCAAGUGGAUCUUUUUGAGCUGGUGACUGAGAGCUGUUGAUGUGGGGGGAGCAGAAGUCAAGCAUGUUCUUUAACGCCCCGUCAUGGUAAUCCCUCCUCAGAGACCCCUCUGCCAGCUCUGACACAGCCCAGCGCCAUCCCUUCACAUCUGGUCUGACUGACACAUCACCACAGGAGGAAAGCCCAAACUCUGAGACACAAAGACUGCGUUUCCCUGCCUUCCCCAGGACACCCCCUUCCCCGGUCCAUUGGAGCCACUGCCAUUGCCUCUGCUUGUGUGUCAGAGGAGAAACAC